rnacentral:rRNA from 1 species
GACGAACGCUGGCGGCGUGCCUAAUACAUGCAAGUAGAACGCACAGUUUAUACCGUAGCUUGCUACACCAUAGACUGUGAGUUGCGAACGGGUGAGUAACGCGUAGGUAACCUGCCUGGUAGCGGGGGAUAACUAUUGGAAACGAUAGCUAAUACCGCAUAAUAUUAAUUAUUGCAUGAUAAUUCAUUGAAAGGUGCAAUUGCACCACUACCAGAUGGAUCUGCUUUGUAUUAGCUAGUAGGCGAGGUAACGGCCCACCUAGGCGGCGAUACAUAGCCGACCUGGGGAGGAGGUCGGCCACACUGGGACUGGGACACGGCCCAAGCUCCUACGGGAGGCAGCAGUAGGGAAUCUUCGGCAAUGGACGGAAGUCUGACCGAGCAACGCCGCGUGAGUGAAGAAGGUUUUCGGAUCGUAAAACUCUGUUUUAAGAGAAGGACGGGUGUGAGAGUGGAAAGUUCACGCUGUGACGGUAUCUUACCAGAAAGGGACGGCUAACUACGUG